rnacentral:rRNA from 1 species
GUUCGAAAGAACACUCACAAGAUUAAUAACNNNNNNNNNNNNNNCGAUGAAGGACGUUACUAACGACGAUAUGCUUUGGGGAGCUGUAAGUAAGCUUUGAUCCAGAGAUUUCCGAAUGGGGAAACCCAGCAUGAGUUAUGUCAUGUUAUCGAUAUGUGAAUACAUAGCAUAUCAGAAGGCACACCCGGAGAACUGAAACAUCUUAGUACCCGGAGGAAGAGAAAGAAAAUUCGAUUCCCUUAGUAGCGGCGAGCGAAACGGGAAGAGCCCAAACCAACAAGCUUGCUUGUUGGGGUUGUAGGACACUCUAUACGGAGUUACAAAGGACGACAUUAGACGAAUCAUCUGGAAAGAUGAAUCAAAGAAGGUAAUAAUCCUGUAGUCGAAAAUGUUGUCUCUCUUGAGUGGAUCCUGAGUACGACGGAGCACGUGAAAUUCCGUCGGAAUCUGGGAGGACCAUCUCCUAAGGCUAAAUACUCUCUAGUGACCGAUAGUGAACCAGUACCGUGAGGGAAAGGUGAAAAGCACCCCGGAAGGGGAGUGAAAUAGAACCUGAAACCGUGUGCUUACAAGUAGUCAGAGCCCGUUAAUGGGUGAUGGCGUGCCUUUUGUAGAAUGAACCGGCGAGUUACGAUUUGAUGCAAGGUUAAGCAGUAAAUGUGGAGCCGUAGCGAAAGCGAGUCUGAAUAGGGCGUUUAGUAUUUGGUCGUAGACCCGAAACCAGGUGAUCUACCCUUGGUCAGGUUGAAGUUCAGGUAACACUGAAUGGAGGACCGAACCGACUUACGUUGAAAAGUGAGCGGAUGAACUGAGGGUAGCGGAGAAAUUCCAAUCGAACCUGGAGAUAGCUGGUUCUCUCCGAAAUAGCUUUAGGGCUAGCCUCAAGUGAUGAUUAUUGGAGGUAGAGCACUGUUUGGACGAGGGGCCCCUCUCGGGUUACCGAAUUCAGACAAACUCCGAAUGCCAAUUAAUUUAACUUGGGAGUCAGAACAUGGGUGAUAAGGUCCGUGUUCGAAAGGGAAACAGCCCAGACCACCAGCUAAGGUCCCAAAAUAUAUGUUAAGUGGAAAAGGAUGUGGCGUUGCCCAGACAACUAGGAUGUUGGCUUAGAAGCAGCCAUCAUUUAAAGAGUGCGUAAUAGCUCACUAGUCGAGUGACACUGCGCCGAAAAUGUACCGGGGCUAAACAUAUUACCGAAGCUGUGGAUUGUCCUUUGGACAAUGGUAGGAGAGCGUUCUAAGGGCGUUGAAGCAUGAUCGUAAGGACAUGUGGAGCGCUUAGAAGUGAGAAUGCCGGUGUGAGUAGCGAAAGACGGGUGAGAAUCCCGUCCACCGAUUGACUAAGGUUUCCAGAGGAAGGCUCGUCCGCUCUGGGUUAGUCGGGUCCUAAGCUGAGGCCGACAGGCGUAGGCGAUGGAUAACAGGUUGAUAUUCCUGUACCACCUAUAAUCGUUUUAAUCGAUGGGGGGACGCAGUAGGAUAGGCGAAGCGUGCGAUUGGAUUGCACGUCUAAGCAGUAAGGCUGAGUAUUAGGCAAAUCCGGUACUCAUUAAGGCUGAGCUGUGAUGGGGAGAAGACAUUGUGUCUUCGAGUCGUUGAUUUCACACUGCCGAGAAAAGCCUCUAGAUAGAAAAUAGGUGCCCGUACCGCAAACCGACACAGGUAGUCAAGAUGAGAAUUCUAAGGUGAGCGAGCGAACUCUCGUUAAGGAACUCGGCAAAAUGACCCCGUAACUUCGGGAGAAGGGGUGCUCUUUAGGGUUAACGCCCAGAAGAGCCGCAGUGAAUAGGCCCAAGCGACUGUUUAUCAAAAACACAGGUCUCUGCUAAACCGUAAGGUGAUGUAUAGGGGCUGACGCCUGCCCGGUGCUGGAAGGUUAAGAGGAGUGGUUAGCUUCUGCGAAGCUACGAAUCGAAGCCCCAGUAAACGGCGGCCGUAACUAUAACGGUCCUAAGGUAGCGAAAUUCCUUGUCGGGUAAGUUCCGACCCGCACGAAAGGCGUAACGAUUUGGGCACUGUCUCAACGAGAGACUCGGUGAAAUCAUAGUACCUGUGAAGAUGCAGGUUACCCGCGACAGGACGGAAAGACCCCGUGGAGCUUUACUGUAGCCUGAUAUUGAAAUUCGGCACAGCUUGUACAGGAUAGGUAGGAGCCUUUGAAACGUGAGCGCUAGCUUACGUGGAGGCGCUGGUGGGAUACUACCCUAGCUGUGUUGGCUUUCUAACCCGCACCACUUAUCGUGGUGGGAGACAGUGUCAGGCGGGCAGUUUGACUGGGGCGGUCGCCUCCUAAAAGGUAACGGAGGCGCUCAAAGGUUCCCUCAGAAUGGUUGGAAAUCAUUCAUAGAGUGUAAAGGCAUAAGGGAGCUUGACUGCGAGACCUACAAGUCGAGCAGGGUCGAAAGACGGACUUAGUGAUCCGGUGGUUCCGCAUGGAAGGGCCAUCGCUCAACGGAUAAAAGCUACCCCGGGGAUAACAGGCUUAUCUCCCCCAAGAGUUCACAUCGACGGGGAGGUUUGGCACCUCGAUGUCGGCUCAUCGCAUCCUGGGGCUGUAGUCGGUCCCAAGGGUUGGGCUGUUCGCCCAUUAAAGCGGUACGCGAGCUGGGUUCAGAACGUCGUGAGACAGUUCGGUCCCUAUCCGUCGUGGGCGUAGGAAAUUUGAGAGGAGCUGUCCUUAGUACGAGAGGACCGGGAUGGACAUACCUCUGGUGUACCAGUUGUCGUGCCAACGGCAUAGCUGGGUAGCUAUGUGUGGACGGGAUAAGUGCUGAAAGCAUCUAAGCAUGAAGCCCCCCUCAAGAUGAGAUUUCCCAACUUCGGUUAUAAGAUCCCUCAAAGAUGAUGAGGUUAAUAGGUUCGAGGUGGAAGCAUGGUGACAUGUGGAGCUGACGAAUACUAAUCGAUCGAAGACUUAAUCAA